UAAAAAUCUGCAUUACAGCCCAGAACAUGGCUUGUCUUUCACAUCACUGUCACCACUGUUGAAACGCACCACCCACCACCUCACUGUGUUCACAUCCACUGUUUGUUCUUCAUGAACACUGAGCAAACUUUGAUGAAUGUCAAUGGGUACAAUAUUUUCUGCAUGGAGGAAUUCAGUUACUCACCUUUGCUUUAUAAGCACUUCCAUGUCAGACACCAUUCUGUCAGCCUGCUCCUCUGCUGCCAUCUGUGACACGGCAACAACAUGUAACAGAAUACUGGCAGGAAGGUUCCACCUCUACUGCCGUACCACCACCAUCUGCCUCUGGCAUCAUGGGCCAAUGUAAUAUAAAUAGGAGGCAUUACUUUUGUAGCAGACUUCACAAAUGAUUGCAUUUCAGUGCUUGAAAAUGCUGGACAGAAACAAACCUGAAGCCUAGCUCUGAACUAUAGAGAGAAAUUCUGACCAUUUCAAGACUAUCUUUUCUCUGAAUUUAUGUCACUGUUCUGGGUCAAGCAAUAUACUCCUGGAAAACAGGAUCCUUGCUCGGAAAGAGAAGUCAGGAUAUAAAAAAGCUCAAUAUUCCCAAAAUGACUUUCACCUAUCCAGCUGCUCUUUGGCCGUCCUGGAAGAAACUCUGGAAGCAACCAGUAUUGCUUCUUGUUCUCCUGACGUCAACCAGGGAAGAAUUAGGGAAGAUAUGGACAUCAUGAACUAGUUGCUAAACCAUCCAUAAAUGACUGAAGCAAAUACUGGCAAUGAUUUGCAGCUCCUGGAACAACUGAAUAACAUUGUUGAUAAAUUAUGGAACCUGACAAGAAAACAGAGGGAAAGAGUCCCCACAGAUGUUUAAGUGAGAGCUCCCGGACUGCCUGCAGACUGCCUGCGAACACUCUGCCCAGUGCUUUGACAGCUGUGCUCUCUCUGAAAGAUCCCAGGUGCAAUCUGCAUUCUGGCCACGCAAAGCUUGCAGGCAUAUUGGCUGCAUAUGCUGAAUAUGUGUUCAGAGAGUACUCAGAAGUUGAUGUUUGCUGUGAGGACAUCUUCCUUAAGAAAAUAAUGAGUUACAACUUGCGAAAAUCAAAACAAGAGAAAAGGAACCAUGUUUCCAGUUUGAGCAUUUCAGUUCGUGUUUCUGUGUCCUGCUGAUAACUCUCUGCUUCUUUCCCAUGCUACCGAGUGACCACAUCUUCAGGGUCACGUGUAGAUGGUUUUGCAGGAGGAUUUGUACUGGCUAAAGAAUUUAGCCUAAAGCUAAAUUCUACUAAUGCUGUCCAAGAAACAGUACAUUCAUAUGAAUAGCAUUUGUGAUAGUGAAUACUCAGCAGUGGAUCUGUUACCAUUUAAUAGGGAUUGUAUCUUGUUUUAGAGAAAAAUAUUUGGAGUCUUACUGAAAAAAUUCUUGUUUCUGUUACAUAAUCAUCCUAAAACUCAGUUCUUAAAGGAUGUUUGUUGUUUUUCCUUUGCAAAGAUCAAGUCAAUAAUUUUUAACUCCUUCAGGUGAGCUCUUGCUUGAUUUGCGAUGUAUGUGUCACAUUUCAGUAAUGUCAACCUGAACUUUUCACUCAAAUUAGGAUAGUAUAAUAUAUUUUUAUUAUUAUGUGCCUUAUUUUUCUUGCAACGAAGCACAUUUGACACUGAGCAUAACAACAUGAAAGAAACUGGUAUUAAAUUACAAAAAAAUAAAAUAUAGUAAGACAAGUUCA
rnacentral:lncRNA from 1 species